rnacentral:rRNA from 1 species
CAGCAGUGAGGAAUAUUGGUCAAUGGGCGAGAGCCUGAACCAGCCAAGUAGCGUGAAGGAUGACUGCCCUAUGGGUUGUAAACUUCUUUUAUAAAGGAAUAAAGUCGGGUAUGGAUACCCGUUUGCAUGUACUUUAUGAAUAAGGAUCGGCUAACUCCGUGCC